GGCGGCGAAUCAGGCCCUAAGAAGAGAUGACGCAGACGAAUCAGUACGGGAAACAUCAGCGCGACUCUUUUAUCUUUGAGGCCUCCACUUUAGUGACUUCUGGGAUGAAGUUCUAAGGCAGAUAUGAAAAGAGUUUAUCAAGACAUGAAAGAAUAUUAAAUGGAGGGAAAGCUACUAAGACGAGAAGCAGCGUGGCUCAGUGGCAAGAGCCCGGGCUUGGGAGUCAGAGGUCAUGGGUUCGACUCCCGACUCUGCCCCUUGUCAGCUGUGUGACUGUGGGCGAGUCACUUCACUUCUCUGGGCCUCAGUUCCCUCAUCUGGACAACGGGGAUGAAGACUGGGAGCCUCAAGUGGGACAACCUGAUUGCCCUUCUCUGUUUCUUAAUUACCACAUCCGCAAAAUGGGGAUUUAACACGGAGAGCCCCAUGGGACCGAUUAUUAGCCUGUAUCUACUCCAGCACAAGGUCUAGCACAAAGUAAGUACUCUACGAAUGCCACCGAAAGAAAUAAAAAUCAUUCUUUUCUAACCUUCAGCAGUAGCAACUAUUCUUCCCCGCCUUCCCAGCCCCGCAGCACUUACGUACAUAUCUGUAAUUUACUUCUUUGUACCGAUGUCUGUCUCCCCCAUCUAUUCAUUCGACAGUAUUUACUGAGCGCUCACUAUGUGCAGAGCACUGUACUAAGCGCUUGGAAUGGACACAUCGGUAACAGACAGUCCCCGCCCUAGCCCGUAAGCUCGCUGUGGGCAGGGAAUGUGUCUGCUUAUUGUUGUAAUGUACUUUCCCAAGCGCUUAGUACAGUGCUCUGCACAUUGUAAGCGCUCAAUAAAUAGGACUGAAUGAAUAGAUGAACUAUUCUCCACAUUUCUAAAACCAACACGGGAGUACGCAGAUAACUUAAAGCAAGGUAGCGGAAACAAUGGUUUGAUGGAAUAGGUGAAAUCUGGUUUGUCAGAUGUUAUGAAAAAGGUCUUCAUUUUACUUGUGCAACAGUAUUUAUUGAGCGCUUACUAUGUGCAGAGCACUGUACUAACCGCUUGGGACGUACAAUUCGGCAACAGAUAGAGACGAUCCCUGCCCACUGACGGGCUUUCGGGACAUCCUUGAGACUGCGAACUCGUCGUGAGCGGGAAACGCGCCUGCCAACUCCGUCGUACUGCACUCUCCGGAGCGCAUAGUAGGUGUUAAAUAAACACCACCGAUGAUGACAACAAGACGCCGGAGGGUAGAGGAAACAAAACCGAGCCAUUAUAUAAACCGUAGGCAUGUCUGCACUUGGAAUUUAGUUUGCGGUUUGGGAGCCCCAUUUUAGAAACGACAACAGAGGCGGAGAACGUUCAAAGAAAGGGAACGAGAUUAUCCACCCAUCGGUAGCGCUAAGCACUUGGGAAAGUACGACAGAACUAGUAUGCCAGGGCUACUAUCACUCCGUGCCAUAGGAGGAUACGCAGAAAGUGUCACGACUUCGGUCUGGAAAGAUAGAGGCUGCGGAGGAACAUAGCCGGGGAUAAUAAAGUCAUCGAGGGCGAGGAAGAGGCAAAACAGCUCUGUUGCGCGACCAACGGCGAGCUUACGGUCUAAAGGGGGAGACGGACGACAUUAAUAUAAAUAAAUAAAUCACAGAUAUCCGCAUGAGUGCUGCGGGGGAGGGUAAGGAGUUUCUGCUAAGGAGGGGCCGGAGAGCCGAUGCUAAGGAAUUUCUGUUUGAUGUGGAGGUUGAUGGGCAACCCCUAGAGAUUCCCGAGGAGCGGGGAGACAUGGCCUGAACUGCUUUGUAGAAAAAAUAAGCUGGGCAGCAAGGAAAGGAAAAAUCAUUUUCACCCGGUGGGAAAUAAACAAAUGGAUCUUU
rnacentral:lncRNA from 1 species